rnacentral:lncRNA from 1 species
AUUGGAGGUAGACCGCAGCCGGCAGCAUGAUUCUGUUCACACUUGGACUAUAUUUUCAACUCCUCUGCUAUGUGGCGUCAUUCUCUUACGUGGAUAAUAUAUUCCCUCAUCCAACAGAUCUCCAGUUGCUGGAAACCAGAAAGAAAUUCAACCCCUGCUGUUUACUGAGUCCACCUCCGCCCCCUCUCUUCCCUCCACCCCAUUCACUGUGGCGGCAGGGCCCUCUGACUGUGACUGUUGUUCCACCAAAUGAAAGGAACUCAGAAGGGAAGCACAAUCCCACACCCCCCAUGUGUUCCCCAGGGCCUCCAGGACCAGCAGGACCUCCUGGCCCUCAGGUAUGUGCUUCAAAUUUUAAUGUUGAG